GAUGAACGCUGGCGGCGUGCCUAAUACAUGCAAGUCGAGCGAACAGAUAAGGAGCUUGCUCCUUUGACGUUAGCGGCGGACGGGUGAGUUACACGUGGAUAACCUACCUAUAAGACUGGGAUAACUUCGGGAAACCGGAGCUAAUACCGGAUAACAUAUUGAACCGCAUGGUUCAAUAGUGAAAGGCGGCUUUGCUGUCACUUAUAGAUGGAUCCGCGCCGUAUUAGCUAGUUGGUAAGGUAACGGCUUACCAAGGCAACGAUACGUAGCCGACCUGAGAGGGUGAUCGGCCACACUGGAACUGAGACACGGUCCAGACCCCUACGGGAGGCAGCAGUAGGGAAUCUUCCGCAAUGGGCGAAAGCCUGACGGAGCAACGCCGCGUGAGUGAUGAAGGUCUUCGGAUCGUAAAACUCUGUUAUCAGGGAAGAACAAAUGUGUAAGUAACUGUGCACAUCUUGACGGUACCUGAUCAGAAAGCCACGGCUAACUACGUG
rnacentral:rRNA from 1 species